GUUGCCUGCUGGUGCUGAUCAAGAGAGAGAUAUGAAUGAGAGGAGGACUCCAGAAUGGGGGGAAAACAUGAAUCUUUUUCAGGCAAUGUGCACCACUGGUUUUUGGUUUUUGUUUGUCACCACUGCAUGCGGAAUGGGCACAGGGCUGGCUACAGUUAAUAACAUUAGCCAGAUAGGAGGGUCACUUGGGUACACUAUCUUAGAGACAAAUACUUUAGUUUCUCUAUGGAGUAUCUGGAAUUUUCUUGGUCGCUUUGGAGCUGGUUAUAUUUCAGAUUAUUUCUUGC
rnacentral:misc_RNA from 1 species